rnacentral:pre_miRNA from 1 species
UAAGCUUUCUUUGCCAAUUGUUGGUCUGUAUGCUGGUUCAAAGAACCAGCAUACAGACCAACAAUUGGCAAAGAAAGCUUACAU